rnacentral:rRNA from 1 species
GACGAACGCUGGCGGCGUGCUUGACACAUGCAAGUCGAACGGAAAGGCCCCCUUGUGGGGUACUCGAGUGGCGAACGGGUGAGUAACACGUGAGUAACCUACCCUUGACUUUGGGAUAACUUCAGGAAACUGGGGCUAAUACCGGAUCGGAGCUCCUGCUGCAUGGUGGGGGUUGGAACGUUUCGGCGGUUGGGGAUGGGCUCGCGGCUUAUCAGCUUGUUGGUGGGGUAGUGGCUCACCAAGGCUUUGCCGGGUAGCCGGCCUGAGAGGGUGACCGGCCACAUUGGGACUGAGAUACGGCCCAGACUCCUACGGGAGGCAGCAGUGGGGAAUAUUGCACAAUGGGCGGAAGCCUGAUGCAGCAACGCCGCGUGCGGGAUGACGGCCUUCGGGUUGUAAACCGCUUUCGCCUGUGACGAAGCGUGAGUGACGGUAAUGGGUAAAGAAGCACCGGCUAACUACGUG